UAAAAAUAUUGAAAAUUUAAGGGUAUUCAAAUAUGGAAAAAUUACUGUUACUUCGCUCGAAAGGCAUGGUACGACCUUACUGCGACGAAUGUAAAUCCUUAAACGCGACGCGAAAAGGAGAGCCCACCACCUCCCCCGGCGCUUUUACCUGGUCCGUUAAAAGCAUCCGGGCCUCUCUGGCAGACGUGAAUCCUUGGUUUACCUGGAACCUUUUUAUACCCAUAGCAGGAAUUUGGAUGCCGACGACUCACGAACAUCCUCGGAACCAAUCGUUGGAUAAAAAUGCAAUUGGGAAAACUUAAUGAAAAUAGAGUUUUUCCUCAUGAAAACGCUCUCAGAACCGGGUAUUUCUAGGUAAAACAGCGGGACAAAAGCUGGCCACAUGUGUACAAGAAAAUUGGCUUUUCAGGAAAACCGCAUCAUGAUUUAUAUUAUAUUUUGCCACACCAGGCAUGCCCCUUCAUUUAACAGGGCUUCCCAAGUUUUAGGCAUUUGUGGUUUUUUACUAUCCUAAGAAUAACCAGGGCUGAAAAUAAUGAAGGUCAGAGACUACAACAUAGUCAACGGAGAACUAAGUAUAACCCAUAAGAAAUUGAACCUUUCCAGGAUACUAUCAGGCUAGAAGUAGAAACCUCUUUAAGUUGGUUUCUUUAUGUAUGUUUACAAUUAUAAACCCCUCAUGACUCACAGUGGACUACACCAACAAAGGUUAUGUGUUUUGCACCAGAUUGAAAGCAUCAUAGCGAAAAAUGGGACCGCUCAUUUCUUUAAAUUUCCAAAAGAGCCCCUGGAAAAAGAAAAAUGUAUAUCUCUGCUAAGGAAUACUAAAAUGGAUAAAAAACCUGAAUGUCCAUGCAUUGGAAUGUAUUGUCAUUUUGUUGACAAAAAUUGAAUGAAUGGGCCCACUAUUUUUCCACAUGCAACGAGGUUAAGCGAGGAGAAACUUAAGACUUUAUCAAAAACUCGGGUUAAUACAGAAUUGCUUAGUACAAACUUAUCUAUUCCCAGUACAAGUUCAUCCACUUCUUUGAAGCAUGGUACUUCUAGUACUAAAUUAGCCGGUGUCAAAUUCCAGUAAGGGAAAUUAUUUCAAUUUUGAACCAACAGCAUAGCCUGAAAUUCAUUUUGCUACGAAAAGUUGGAGGAUGUCAAAGAAAAAAGUGCAGAAGUUAAAAUUAAGUUUUUCAUAUGAGCACAUAAAAAAUAGUCAUGACAAAGUUCAGUUGUAUGCAGGUCUGACAUGUAAUAAAUAUUUUUGUAACAUUAUUAAGUUAAUUAGUUUUAUACAUUAUUUAAAUAACAAUUGUAUAGUUCAUAUAAAAUAGGCAGAAGUUAUAUGUACUUAUAUAAAAAAAAUUUCAUUAAGGACAACAUGUAUUAAAGCAUAACACAUAUCAUAGACACACAGGUAAUAUAUUUAUUAAAAAUUAUAA